GAAACCCGACCUGAACAAGCUUGAGCAAGAAAAUUUGCUACAAGGAAUGUGCUGAAUGGAUUUGCUACAAGGAAUGUGCUGUCACAUACCCUGAGGACAGGAAUAUGGCUAAGCCUUAAGUAUAUCAUCCCAAUAAGCUGUGGCCAGGCUGAACUUGUGCUAUACAACGGCAGGCCCCAACCUUUUCGGCACCAGGGGCCAGUUUUGUGGAAGGCAAAUUUUCAGGUGGAAGUCUCACUCUACCACUCUCAUAACCAAUGCAACAAAUAAUCAAGUCCUCAAGCUGCAAGGAAAACUUUGAGGGGGUUUUUUUAAGGAUGUAAAGAUCAUUAAACAAUGAGGAGAUAGUUUCUUAGAGGAAAAGAAACUGUGUCUCCCUGAAUCAGUGUAUCCCAAUGCCUUCUAGUUUCCUAUGUUGGCUACAGACAAGAUAACCUAUUACUAAGGGCCUACUCCAAUAUCUAGAAGAUGGCAGAUAUUCACUCUUAGGUGGCACUAGAAGAGGACCACAAGCCUGCCAGAGGGAGGAGAGUAUUGCUUCUUCCUGUUCCCAUUAGUGUCACCUCGGCAGUGACUUUUCACCCUGGAGUGGCAGGCAAGUUUCUAGAUUAUUUGGGUACUCCCCAAAUCAGUCUUGUUG